CAGUUUCAAUCUGCUGCGGACAAAUAAAGUGAAUGUGGGAGUCAAUGCCCCCAGCCGUGACAAUCAUCCCCUCACCCGCCACCGCUUCGGUGGCCGGACCAAUGAUGAUGUCAACAUUGUCCUGAAUAUAGGGAUUGCCAGCCUUACCAAUCUUGGCAAUCCGACCGUCUUUAAUGCCGAUAUCUGCUUUGACAAUGCCCCACCAGUCCAAAAUUAGGGCGUUGGUAAUCACCAUAUCCACCGCCCCAUCGGCCCGUGUAAUUGGCGACUGGCCCAUGCCAUCGCGG
rnacentral:sRNA from 1 species